AGUGAACGCUGGCGGUAGGCCUAACACAUGCAAGUCGAACGGCAGCACAGUAAGAGCUUGCUCUUACGGGUGGCGAGUGGCGGACGGGUGAGGAAUACAUCGGAAUCUACUUUUUCGUGGGGGAUAACGUAGGGAAACUUACGCUAAUACCGCAUACGACCUACGGGUGAAAGCAGGGGUUCUUCGGACCUUUCGCGAUUGUAUGAGCCGAUGUCGGAUUAGCUAGUUGGCGGGGUAAAGGCCCACCAAGGCGACGAUCCGUAGCUGGUCUGAGAGGAUGAUCAGCCACACUGGAACUGAGACACGGUCCAGACUCCUACGGGAGGCAGCAGUGGGGAAUAUUGGACAAUGGGCGCAAGCCUGAUCCAGCCAUACCGCGUGGGUGAAGAAGGCCUUCGGGUUGUAAAGCCCUUUUGUUGGGAAAGAAAAGCAGCAGGUUAAUACCCCGAUGUUCUGACGGUACCCAAAGAAUAAGCACCGGCUAACUUCGUG
rnacentral:rRNA from 1 species